UUACUUAAUUUCAUAGCCGAAAUGGCUAUUGGCUGGUGGUUUUAUAACCACCGGCCU
rnacentral:sRNA from 1 species